AGGUGGGCACAGGUAACCAGGUUCUUGGUGAUCGCAGACAAAGAGUUGAACCAAACACAGAGAGUUUACAACAGAGAGAGAGAGAGAACAGAUUUAUUGAGCCAUAGUACACUCCACAGAACAUGGGAGCAGGCCAACUAUGAGCAGAGAUUGACCUCAGGGGCUUGAGGGAUUCUAUUCUUAUAGGAUGGAUAUUUCCUAGCAAAUUUUGAUGGGCUUUUAUUGCCCAGGUACAAGUGGUUAUAUUACUUUAAGCUACUGCACACGUGGUCUCCCAUGAUUUUCCUUGAUUAGCCACCACUGGGAAAAAGGGGGUACCACA